rnacentral:rRNA from 1 species
GAUGAACGCUGGCGGCGUGCCUAAUACAUGCAAGUCGAGCGAACAGACGAGGAGCUUGCUCCUCUGACGUUAGCGGCGGACGGGUGAGUAACACGUGGAUAACCUACCUAUAAGACUGGGAUAACUUCGGGAAACCGGAGCUAAUACCGGAUAACAUGUUGAACCGCAUGGUUCAACAGUGAAAGACGGUCUUGCUGUCACUGAUAGAUGGAUCCGCGCGGCAUUAGUUAGUUGGUAAGGUAACGUCUUACCAAGUCAACGAUGCGUAGCCGACCUGAGAGGGUGAUCGUCCACACUGCACCUGAGUCCCGGUCCAGACUCCUACGGGAGGCAGCAGUAGGGAAUCUUCCGCAAUGGGCGCAAGCCUGACGGAGCAACGCCGCGUGAGUGAAGAAGGUCUUCGGUUCGUAAAGCGCUCUUAUGAGCAAAGAACAAAUCUGUAAGUAACUGUGCACGUCUUGACGGUAUCCUAUCAGAAAGGCACGGCUAACUACGUG